UGGGGAAUAUUGCGCAAUGGGCGGAAGCCUGACGCAGCAACGCCGCGUUGGCGGAUGACGGCCUUCGGGUUGUAAACCGCUUUCAGCAGGGACGAAGCGUGAGUGACGGUACCUGCAGAAGAAGCACCGGCCAACUACGUGCCAGCAGCCGCGGUGAUACGUAGGGUGCGAGCGUUGUCCGGAAUUAUUGGGCGUAAAGAGCUCGUAGGUGGUUGAUCGCGUCGAAAGUGAAAUCUCAGGGCUUAACCCUGAGCGUGCUUUCGAUACGGGUCGACUAGAGGAAGGUAGGGGAGAAUGGAAUUCCUGGUGGAGCGGUGGAAUGCGCAGAUAUCAGGAGGAACACCAGUGGCGAAGGCGGUUCUCUGGACCUUUCCUGACGCUGAGGAGCGAAAGCGUGGGGAGCAAACAGGCUUAGAUACCCUGGUAGUCCACGCCGUAAAAUG
rnacentral:rRNA from 1 species